AUGGGCAAGGCCAGCGAUGAUGGUGCGUCUCUCCGUGCGGCGGCGACGAGAAUCAUGCAUCCGGCAGUGCUUCCUAGGGAGGAGCUUCACCGGUUUGUCCAUACCGAGCAUGUAUCUUUGCCUCCAUCCCAUCCCUGGCUCGCUAUUUUCAUGAUAUGCGCCCCGUUGUUGCUCCGAUUGGUUGCAGAGUACUUGCAGAAUUUAAGCGGAGAUGUGUUGCCCCACAAUGUACAUUUUGUAGUGUCAGAUUUCCACCUCUUGUGGCGUGCCUCGAACAAUUUCAGCUUUUCCAUGUCUUUUUAUUAUCCUGAAUGUGUUCGUCCAUCCUAG
rnacentral:rRNA from 1 species